AGCGAAACCCACUUAAAAUGUGGAUUGAAAUUGAAAUCGAAUCGAAGGGAGAGCGAUUGUUCCAACCCUAGAAUCAGUCUGAAAUUGAAGCUCUUUAAGUAUCGAUGAGGUUUGAUUUCAGUGGAUUUGAUUGUGUGUGGUUUCUUCAUUCUUCAGUCGUAUCGAGGAUCAAUUAGAGUGAUUUCAAUUUAGUCUAUGCGGCUUCUUCUCUCAUAUUUAGGCUAUGCGGCUUCUUCUCUCACAGUCAUCGUGUGUGCUAUUGGUUUCAAUGGCGGCCAAAAGAUUUCUUCCCUCGCAGAUUUCUUGAGUUUUGAUCAGAAUUCACAUUUACUUCAUUGUUUAAGGUACAUUGAGAUAGUUCACUUGUCUUUCGCAGGUUUUUGGAAUUGUGUAAUCUGGAAUCAGCUAGAAUGAUCUUCAAGGCAAUCUCAUACAUGUCAUGACUCUUGUUGGAAUAUAAAAAGGAUAAAUGGGAUAAUUUUCAUCACAAAAAGCUUACAAAUGUCACAUCUUUAUGCAGAAAAGAAGAGUUCAUUGUUUUGAGCAGAAGAAAGUAGAAAGAAAUACAAAAGCAGAACGAAUUUAGAUUACGGGGAAUGUUGUUCUUCCUCACUCUCACUUGCCUAUGAUGAGUUUGGCUCUGGCAUCUCCUUUGUUGAUCUGGAACUGAUCUGUUAGUCCGAAGUGAGCCAUUAGAAGCCACACGAAGUUUAUGAGCUCUCCGCCUCUGCUGAGUUGCUCCACGUGAGCCGUAGAGUCGCAAUGACAGGCUGCAUAACAGAGAAGUUCCACCCACACUUUACUCAGUAUCUCCCAUUUAUCUUUGUUGUGUGUCUUCUCCAUCUCUGCAAGGUCUUUGGCUAGCCUGCUCGCGUCAAACAAUACAGACUUGCUUCGAUCUCCCUUCACUCCCAUUGGUUCAAUUUCACUUUCGACGUCCAGAAUAUUUAGGGUGGCUGUCUCCACGCUUCUAUCGUUCUCGAUAUGCCUCCUCUGGAAGAACUUGUGAGUUUCAGCCAAUGUGUCUCUGAAUCUGAUCUUCCCAAUUCCAGCAACCUCGGACAUCAGACCGGGUUGCAAGAUCAGGAGAUACAUCAUGUAGUCUGAGAUGAUUUUGCUGAACUCGCGGUUACUGUAAUGCUUGCGUUGUUCAUCAUAACCCUCUGGGAUAGUCUCUUUCUCAUGUUGUUGGUAACAGAGCUCGGUUGCGAUGUGCCACAUCAAAAGACUCUGAUCAUAAUCGACCUUUGUGACAUAGCGUACCAGUUUUUCACGUUCUGCAUCCACCGGCAGGUUCUCUCUUAAAGUCCAUUCUCCCCGAGCCAAAGAUAUCCUCUUGGCAUUUUCAGGACUGUCUCCAUACUUUGAUUUGUUUUUCAGCUCUUCGAAGAUGAACUUCCACAAUUCUCUCGUCAUGGGCUCUCCAUGUACAAAUAGUGUCUUGUGGACCAUAUCAAGCGUAUCCGAGAUGUCAAAGAACUCACUGAGGAUAUCCCACACUGAUUUGAUGAAGUGAGGGAUGCGGGAUAUGAACUCGAAAUAGAUAGGGUAAAGAAAACGACGAGCCCAAAGAUGCUUUCUUGAUAACGCAUUGACUUCGUGGCUGAUCCGUCUGUGCACUUCAUUGAUCAACUUGACAAUCGAUCCAAAAAUUUUCUUUAUGACGAAGUUGAGUUUUUUGAAUGGAAAAGUUAUGAUCUUCCAUGAGUAGCGGCGGAAACUACCUCUGGCGUCGUGGAUCCUCUCUACAUCUGCUUUUGUGGCGUACGCUAUAAAGUUAAAAACGUUGAUGCUUCCACUCCACCUCCGAAGGAAGAAACGCGUUGUGAGAACGUCAUGCUUAUCUACCAAUGAACACUUAUCAGCAGCUUCCUUCUUAUCGUCACCUUCCUUCUUAUUGCCACCUUCAUUCUUAUUGCCACCUUCCUUCUUAUCAGCACCUUUCAUGAUACACGGUUUCAAACCUUCUUUGGUACACUUAUGCAUACCAGUCUUGUGGCACUCUUGCGGCGUCCAACGCAGCUUUCUGAAUUUAAGUAACCAGUUAAAACAUCUCUCUUGCCAUGAUUGAAGCUCAUCCGGAUCGUCCUUCAAACUACUGUAUGCAGCACAUGUCCAGUCUGAGAACAGGAACAAAAGGAUGGAUAUGAAAUCCAAAACUAGGCCAACUGCAAACAGCGUAUAAGUAACUACGACAUCAGCUCCAUGAAAAUCUGUGCCUUUGUUAGGUUUCUUAUGAAAAAUGAUGAAUGCAGCCACAAGGGUACCAGAAGCAAAGACCCGUGAGACAGUUCCAAUACCGGUAUGAAGAAUCGCGAUCUUGGUGAAUAGAGCAUCAUAGAGAAAGCCGAGCUCAAUCUCAAUGAUCCUCAAAGCUUCCUCUGGAUCAUUUAAAUUCUCAAAGAUCUCUAGGCUCUCGUCACGCUCCCUGAAGCUGAAGAUAAGGUUGACUACAAGGCCCUUGAAUGUGUUGAAGAAUUUGUAAGCAUACUGAACAAUCUCAAGAUCGGUCAAAUCUUUUUUUCUUUUCUUCGAAGCUAAUGCUGGAUGCUCUAACUUCUUAGGCCUAUUUUCUUUGUCAGGCUCAUCAAUCAGAACGAUCUUGGUGGGAAGUCUUGCCUCUUUCUUGGCCUUGUACUCCUCCAUGAGCUUGGCGUAGUUUGGUCCUGGAUCUGGUGCUUGAAUCAUAGAGUCCCUAAACUUGUCCAAACUUGCACUAUACAGAGCCGUUGUCCUCUCCAGAUACUUUAUAGUCCCAGAAACAAACACUAAGACUAUAACCACCCAAAGGCUAUUGGGCAGAGACAUGACAACCACAUAGACACCAGCAAUUGCCUGAAAGACAAGCCCAAAGACAUGUCGUAGCCAGAGAGCGUUAUCUUCAAGCGCGAAAGCUGUGAUAGUGUCUGGUCCACCAAGAUGCAAGAGCAAGAAUGGUGCCCAUAAAGCCAUUACCUUUUUGUCCUGUGGAGGGUCAUCAGGUUUGAGAUCUUUACCUUGAUUCUUGGAGAUAAGACCAACAGCGAAAUUAGCAGACCAAUCUGCUAAGAGAUAAGAGGACCAAACAAGCACGAUCAAGAGCCUUCUUGGUGUACGUUUCCUUAGAGGAGAGAAGCAAAUGAGAAUGGCUUGAAGGGUAAGACUUAGAAUGACUGCUCCUCUUAUGUUCCACCUAUCCCAAACAUCUUUGAUAUGUUUUGGUAUCACUUCCACCAUUUUUGCUCUCUCUCAGAGGAAAAAAGAUAGAUCUUUUUCCUUCUCUCUUUCUCUCUCUUGGAUUUACUUGAGAAAUUUGAGUUUCUUUCUUUUUUUUUCUCUCUCUCUCUCUUCUGGUUAUUGAGAUGUUUUUUUUUCCUCAGAUUUACUUGAAAAGUUUGGGGUUUGUGGAAUGUUUUUGGGACGCCAUUGAUGUUGUUCUUUUUCUUUUCUUUUCUUUUUUUACCAGAAGCUCUCACUGGAGCGAGAAGAAAGACGACUCUGCAACUCAGAGUUCAGGACUAAAUCGAGAUUCUUGGUUGCAUCACUUCUGAGAUUCUGAAGUUUUUCUCUGGUCGGAUGAUGUUCACUAUUGCUGCUUCAUAAUGGUGGAUUCAAAGAGGGACAGAAGAAGGACAUGAGUUACAACAAUGCAGAUGAUUCAAGAACAGAUUGUUUUGCUGGCAAACAGUUGAAGACUACUCUUUGAAACAAAACAAAAAAAACACAAUGGAAGCAAAUGAGGGAAACUAAUCAAUUGCUGCUACUUUCGUUGCUUAUUGGAUGAUGAUCACUUGCCUAUAAUCAGUUUGGCUCUGGCAUCUCCUUGGUUGAUUUGGAAUUGGUCUCCUAGUCCAAAAUGAGCCAUCAAUAGCCAAACAAAGCUUAUGAGUUCUCCUCCUUUGCUUAGCUGAGCUGCGUGUUCUAUAGCGCCACACUUUGUCGCUGCAUACGAAAGCAACUCAACCCACACUUGGCUCAUUAUUUUCCACAUCUCUGAGUCGUCCUCCUUAUUCUUUCUUAAACCCUUAAGCUCUUUCGCCAGCAUGGCCCCAUCAAACAGGACGGAUUUGCUUCUAUCUCCUUUCACGUCAAUGGGCUCAGCUUUUGCUGGAACUGCCACUGAUAAAAUUGCCACGCUGGCUUCCUUUGCAUCAGGGGCCUUCUUUGCGGAUAUCCCCAUGAUAUGCCUCCUAUCGAAGAACCUCUGAGCCUCCUCGCACGUGUCUCUGAAUCUUAUCUUUCCAAUACCCACAACAGCUGACAUCAGAGUGGGUUGCAUCAUUAGGAGAUACAUCAUGUAGUCUGACAGGAUUUUACUGAACUCACGGGCGCUAUGAUUCGCUUUAGUGCCUUUUUUUGUCUGGUAUAAGAGCUCAGUGGCUAUAUGCCAUACAAGAAGGCUCUGAUCGUAAUCCAUUUCCAUCACAUAGCGUAGAAGUUUCUCACGUUUUUUUUCUGUUUCUGGGUCACCUUGUAUGUCGCGCAGUGUCCAGUCACCUCUUGCUGAAGAUACCCUCAUGGCGCUUUCAGAGUCGUCAGCGAAACGGGAUUUGGCUUUAACCUCUCCGAAUAUGUGUUCCCACAUAUCCAGGGUGAGACGAUCACUAGAUGUGUAGAUCACCUCAUCUAGCUGAGCUCGGAUGCCAAAGAACUCCAUAAAACUUUUUAUCCAGCGUCCAGGUAGACUAGGAAUGUAAAAUAUGCAGAAGAAGCUAAACCUAAUGUACUCUUCAUUCAACUUCGGGUAUUUCUUGCAUAAACGACUUACUUUACCGUCAAUCCACUUGAAAGUCUGAUGAAUUCUCUGUUUUGUGACUCUAAAACAGGAUUCAAUGACACUUCCAAGUUUUGUGAAUGCGGGGCCAAUGUAAAGUAUGUUGAUAACCUUGUCAAAGGCGAUGUGUAUGAAACCCUUGGUAUGGUGGAUUCGCUUCGGUUUUAAACCUAGGCAGUAUUCGAUCAGGUUGUGUGCAUGUACAUACUCAGACCACCGGCGAUACAUGAAACUCGUGUCGAGCACUUUAUGACAUGGUAUUGUCUUGGCACUCUUGUCGGGCACUUCCUGACCUGGUAUUUUGCUGGUACUCUUGUCGAGAACUUCAUGAGACUUCUCUGUCUUCAACUCCCUCACCCUGAGAAUCCUGUUAAGAAUCCUUUUAAGAAAUGGUGUUUUCUUAGUACUCGUGUUGGGCACUUCAUGAGACUGUGUAUUCUUGUAGCAUUCAUCAUACUCCUCCACCUUCAAUUUCCUGACCCCGAGAAUGUUUUCAAGAAUCCAGUUAAGAAUGUUGUCGGACCAGGUGGGUGGAUCGUCCACUUCGUCCUUCAUCUUCCUCAAUCUGACAAACGUCCAAUCAGAUGCACAGAACAUGAUAAGAGCGAUGCAAUCCAGAGCUAUUCCUCCUAACAGCAAUGCGUAAGUAAGGCCAACAUCAAAUCCACUAUAAUCUUUCUUGCUCUUGUAUUGAAAGAUGCGUAGAGCUGCUGCAAGGCAUCCCAGGGCAAUGAACCUGAAGAGGAAUCCUAUCCAGUUGUGCAAGAUCUCGGCUUUCGUGUAUAGAGCUGCGUAGAUAAAGUUGAGCUCAACCUCUAAGAUUCUUAAAGCUUCUUCUGCUUUCAGCGAGUCAAAGAAUCUCUUGCUCUCAGCUCGUUGUUGAAAUGUAAAGAUGAGAUCAACCACAAGACCUUUGAAGAUAUUAAAGUACUUGUAGGCGUACUGGAGAAUAUUGAGUGGAGUGAACCCGUCAGGAGGCUUUACCGGAGCAUCGUCUCUUGGAUCUUUCUCAGGCUCGCCAACCUUGAUAAUCUGUGUAGGCAUCUUCAUAUCUUUCUUGGCUGCGUAUUCCUCCAUGAGCUUUGCGUAGUUUGGUCCAGGAUCAGGCCGCUGAAUCAUGGAAUCUUUGAACUUGUCAAGACUCGCCAGGUACAAAGCUAAUGUCCUCUCGACAUACUUGAUCACCCCGGUCGCAAACACCAGCAAAAUAGGUUUCCAAAGAGCAUUGGGUAACGACUGCAAAAGCACGUAAACGGUUGCAACUGAUUGAAAGAAAAGACCCAACAAGUGCCUGAGCCAGAGCUCGUUAUCUUCAAGGGCAAGGGCAGUGAUUGUAUCUGGACCACCGAGAUGCAAGAGCAAGAAAGGAACCCAGAAAGCAAACAACUCGGCGCUCUUUUUCGGUUCUCCGGGUUCUGGAUCAUCUCCUUGACUAUCUGAGAUUUGUCCGGCGGCGAAAUUGGCAGACCAAUCAGCAAGAAGGUAAGCUGACCAAAUGAAAGAGAGUAAAACUUUUCUGGAUGAGCGUUUUCUUUGAGGUGCAAAGAAAAUGAGAAAUGUUUGAAGGCUGAGACUGAAGAUUAAGGUACUUCGAAUGCUCCAUUCGUCCCAAAUGUCCUUGAUAGGCUUUGGGAUUGCGUUCACCAUCUUGAAACUGAUUUGCUGAAACAGACAAGAACUGAUGGUUUAUGAGAUCUAACACAGAUACAUCUAAAGAGGUUGACUUCUUUCUUUUUCUGGUUUUACUAUGAGUUUUUUUGCUUUUGAGGCUUUUUGUUGUGUGUGAAGGUUUGAAUUAUUCUGGUUGGACAGCCAUUGGAGGCUACUUGGAGACCUUGAGAUUUCUCCGUUUUUCCUUGAAU
rnacentral:lncRNA from 1 species